UAGGUGAUGGCCGGAAGAACAUGGCAGAGAGCAAAACAAAACAGCAUUGGGAACAAGCUCUGUUUAAAAGGAGACUUGUGAACAGCAAAGAGUAGAAAGGGUUCUCUUACAACUGAAGCCCAUGGAAGACAAAUGUGUACUGCGUAUUAUGAGAUUCUGGAAUUUCCCCAAACCACAUUGAUUGCUGGGAGAAUAAAAGAAGUGGAUUACAAGUGGAACUUAGAAGGGGAGUAUUCGAGAAGACGUCUCUGCAAAUCCAUUUAGAGAGACCUUUCUCCAGUGGUGACUCAAAGAUGCAGCUCCUUUC
rnacentral:lncRNA from 1 species